AAUAUGUAUGUAUACGACCAUGUACGAGGCACUACGUAACUACGUCUCACAUCCAGGUAAUCUCUACACACCAAGUCCAGCUUCUUCUCUCUUUCUCACUUCCCAAGAAAAUGGCACGAAACGGAGGAGCCAUACACUACUAGCACAACACAACGUAGAGCCAAGGUCACCGUGUCUUCCUUCCAUGUCCCAAAACGAUGCCGUUGUCUCACAAACCUUUCGGGCUCUGGUCGAGAGCGCCGACCGCAAAUUUGCCAGAGUCCGUGACCUCCCAUUGUACGGAUACCGAUCACACAACCACUGUCACCACUUUCACAAGGUCUUCGAAGCUUACAUGCGCUUAUGGAAGUACCAGCAGGAGAACCGAGUGAAGCUGGUUGAGUUUGGUCUCAAACGCUGGGAAAUCGGCGAGAUCGCUAGCCGGAUCGGUCAACUCUACUUCAACCAAUACAUGAGGACCAGCGAGGCCAGGUUCAUUGUUGAAGCUUACGUCUUUUAUGAAGCGAUUUUGAUUAGGAGGUAUUUUGAAGGAGUUAGCGUUAAGGAAUUGGGAGUUAGGUUUAAGGAAUUGAGAUUUUAUGCGAGGUUUUUGCUUGUUUCUUUGAUUUUAAACCGGACUGAGAUGGUUAACAUUCUUAUCGACCGGUUUAGAGAAUUGGUUGAAGAUUGCAAGGCUAAUUUUCGGGAAACAAACUUCAAAGAGUGGCAGCCAGUGGUUAAUGAAAUUCUUCGCUUUACCAAAGUUAAUGCUGCCUUUACAAAUAUGAGGCCGUUGCGAUAUUGCCCUACGUUUGAUUCUCAUUCAGCUUCUCAUCAAUAUGUAGCUCGUUUUCAUGCAAAGAAGGUUGUAAAAUUCAAAGAUGCAAUCCUGACAAGCUAUCACCGGAAUGAGGUUAAAUUUGCUGAACUCACUUUGGACACUUACAGAAUGUUACAGUGUUUGGAAUGGGAGCCUAGUGGAUCUUUCUUCCAAAAGCACUCAGUUGUACCCACCGAUCAUUCUGGUGCUUCAAUCAAUCAUUCUGGAGCUUCUGGGGCGAUAGGCAUAAAUUUUUCAGUGGAUAUGACUGAUCCAAAUUUCCCUCCUAAUCCUAGGAAAGCUGUUCUUUAUCGUCCAUCUGUGACACAUUUGGUAGCGGUAAUUGCAACGAUAUGUGAGGAGCUCCCACCAGAGAGCAUUGUUUUAAUAUAUCUGUCAGCCUCAGGAAAAGCUGGUCACAGUAAUGCUGAGCAAAUGGAAAAUUCUGAAGGAUCAAGGAAAUCUUCAAAUAACAAAGUGGUGUCUCAGGUCUUGCAAAAACAGAAUAGUUCUAUGCCUGAAUAUCAUAUUAAUGGGAAGAAAGAGUCAAGUGACUUUUAUGAAAAUCAUUUGUGGUUGGGAACUAGAGGGAAUGGUGGCCAAAAUAACCUCUACCCUGGUGAUAUAAUUCCUUUUACCCGGAUACCUUUAUUCUUGAUCAUCGAUAGUGACAAUAGCCAUGCAUUCAAGGCAGAUAUUGCAUGGUUCAGAAAGGGGAGAGACCGCUGCCUUGUUUCUUUCUCCUUUGAGACCGGCAUUCAAGAAUUCAUCUAUUGUUGAUACAGCACAUAAUGGAAGCCAAUUUACUUAUUUUUUGACGGCUCCUUUAGCAGCAUUCUGUCAAAUGGUUGGCCUUUCUGCUUCUGAUACUGAUGCAGAUGCUUACAACAGUGCUGAGAACAUACUCUGCAGUUCAUUCUCUGAGUGGGAGAUCAUUCUCUGCAAGUCAACUAACUUGGAUCUUGUCUGGGCACAAGUUCUAUCCGAUCCUUUUCUACGACGGCUUAUUCUUAGAUUUAUAUUCUGCCAAUGUGUGCUUUCUGUCUUCUGCCCUCCAGAAGAUAGUGACGAGUACCUACCUGUUUGCUUACCUCAUCUUCCCAAUUCCGUCUCUCCAGAAUCCGAAAUUGUGCAGUCUUGUGUCCACCGGCUUGCAAAUCACCUGGGUGUUGCUGACUGUUUCCACUUUAGCAACACAUGGUUACGACCAUGAACAUCUUUCAAAAUUUGUAAGAUAAUGCUACAGUCAUAUGGCGUUCACGUUUCAUUGAUUUGUUGGGCUUGUUAGACCUGAUUUGAACCGAUACUUUGUUUUUUUUUCACCCUUUUGUGCCUUUGUAAAGAAAAAAUAGACAGAAAUCAAAAUGAAAUAUAUUCUUUUCUCCUGAUUUGAGUGAUUUUAUUAU